AGAGUUUGAUCAUGGCUCAGGGUUAACGCUGGCGGCGUGCCUAACACAUGCAAGUCGAACGGUUCUAAGCGCGAGCUUAGGAUAGUGGCGAACGGGUGAGUAAAAGGUAGGAAUCUACCCCUUGGACGGAGAUAGCUACUGGAAACGGUAGGUAAACUUCGAUAAGCCCGAGAGGGGAAAGUGGUGAGACAGCCGAGGGAUGAGCCUACUCUCCAUCAGGUAGUUGGUGAGAUAAAAGCUUACCAAGCCGAUGACGGAUAACCGGUGUGAGAGCAUGAACGGUCACAAGGGCACUGAGAGACGGGCCCUACUCCUACGGGAGGCAGCAGUGGGGAAUCUUGCACAAUGGGCGAAAGCCUGAUGCAGCAACGCCGCGUGAGGGAAGAAGGUCUUCGGAUCGUAAACCUCUGUCCAGAGGGAAGAAGGAAGUGACGGUACCUUUGGAGGAAGCCCCGGCUAACUACGUGCCAGCAGCCGCGGUAAU
rnacentral:rRNA from 1 species